rnacentral:lncRNA from 1 species
CCCGUAUAAAAUGCUAACCCUAAAAUUUCCUCCUUGCCCCCUCCAAUCCCUCCCCCCACAAACUUUCCUCUAUCCCGAGCCCCCACUCUCUCGCCCAUGCGACUCGUCGCCGCUGCCGCCUGAUUCCGGCGACUUCCCGCGGCGAUGGAUGGGGCGCAGCACACGCCCCUCUCCCCCUCGCUCCGCUCCUUCCUCCCUCUGGCUAGAUUCACCACUCCCAGCCACGAGCGCUCACCCGCAAGCCCUCCCCAUGGCUAGGGUUUCGGUGCCAGUGCGCCUCCGGUGGAUCUUCUCCGUCACCUACCGUGUGUUGGUUGGUGCUCCUGGAACAGCGCGGCACUGAGGCCCUCCUCCCGCGCGCGGGAUGUGCUUACGCGACGCACCCCGGCCCGCGGCGGCAUGUUCGUGACGAGUGGCGCCCUUGUCCCGCUCAACUAUGGUGGCGGCGAACACCGAUGGUUCUUCUCGUCCUGUAUCUCUAAGGACGCGUGCCGGUACAGCUCAGACAUCCCCGACAGUAAAGCUCGUCCUCCCAUCUGACAUGUACAGGGUGUCCUCACCUGCGUGGAUUUGCCUCCUCCUCGGCACGGAACCUGCAACAUGUACGUGAUGAGCUUCCUCUCUCCCUCCUGUACCCGGUGUCACAUGCAUCUGUGUGCACUAGCAUCUGUACAUACAUACACAUGAAUAAGCUUCUCAUUAAUUUCUGAGUACAUUCUAGCGAACCUUAGGGACAGAGCCACGAUUUGAGCAUAGGGGGCGAAGACAAUAGCACAAGAGAUUUUUUUCUUUGGACUAAGCCCUUUCGAGUAAUUUCUUAACAUAAUUAACCAGCUUGUUGUAUAGCAAAUCUAUGCAUUAAUAGAUAGACAAUAAGAUAAGAGAUGUGAAUUUGUGAAAAAAUAUUAGUGUAUAAUUUUUUGCUUAGGAUUUUUGCAUAUCAAUUAAAUUAUGGUUAGCCUAUUAUGUCAUGUAGGCGGAGCCAACAUUUGAACACAGCAGGGCAAGGCAAAUAACUAGUAACUACAAAAGUAUUAUCAUACGAUGUCAUUUUCACUUUGAGCUUAUAGUUGAAUAUCUACCGCCGGCGAUACAAUAUUUUAAGGAUUUUCCUAGUGCACAUCUAGAUCAAUCAUUUGGAUUUUGCCUUCUGUAAUUGUACAAAAUAGUAUACAAGUCAGGAGGCUUAAAAUUCCUAGCUAGUACUUGGGAUCAAUCCAACUAGUAUGUAAUUCAAGGUAAAUUCAGUAAGAAAAAUGAACCAAUGACUUUUAAAAGUUUGUAAUGAUAUACCUUAAGUCUGUACAGUCAUCGUAAUGAUAUACAUUAAAUCUAUGCAGAUUUGAUCGAUUAACAUAUAUUGCAGUUUGUAAUGACAUACAUUAAAUCUGUGCAGUCAUCGUAAGUCAUCCGCGGCCGUAAAUGGGCUAUAGCCUGCUGGGCUUUGGGAUUUUCUAAUUUAAAAAUGACGGCUUAUCAUUAACAUAUAUGGGCUAAUGAGUAAUUAAUUAUGGGAUUUCCUGUGUUUUACAACCUACUAGUAGCAGCAUUUUAACUGCUUGAAACCAUUUCCUGUGCUUUCACGUAGCAGCAUUUUAACUGCAUGAAACCAUUUCAUGUGCUUUCAUGUUGGAUUGAUGGGUGGACUUGGCAAUUGUAUGAUUGCUCUGUACUUAUUUCCUGUGCUUUAGAACCCGUGCUUUACAGUCUAGUUUUUUUUUUCUUCUCAUGAAGUAAACAAUGUAGCUAAGCUUGAGGCAUCCACCAAGGAGGUUGAGAUGUUGCAUGUUGUACAAAAUCAAGAAACCCAAUGUAAGUACUGUUGCUUUUAGUUCUUAUUGCUGUCAUAUGUUUCCUGCUAUAAAUAAUAGUACUCUCAAUGCUUGUCAAGUGGGAACCCCCUAGCCUUGAGAAUAUAUAAUCUUUAUGUGCAUAGAAGUAUAUGAAUAAUGACAUCAAUUUGGGUUUGUAUUUUUCUAUGGAUUUAUAUGGCCUCUACUAGUCUUUCUCGAGAACAAACAAUUUAGGUUAUUUUAGUUGUUAUGUGUUACUUCAUACUAGCUAGAUUCAUUUAGUGGUUUGAGUAAAACACAUCAUUUCUUGGACAAAUAAGAUUUCCUUUAGUGUAAGAAAUUAUUUUUAAACACAGGCUGAUUUAUUGUUUUGUAUCCCAUCUUAUUGAUUGAUUAAUCAGACCGCAUGACAAGAAGCAAAGGGAAUGAAAGAACAUCAGUUGUUUGUCCUCAUGUAGUUUUGAUCUUUUAUUGCAAGGUGAGUAAAUGUGUAGCUUAUGCUUUAAAUUUGUAGGCAAUGUGCUAUUUUAGAACUUAGGACAACUUGUAAUUCAUUUUUAAGUAUGUUCUAAUUCUCUUAUUUCUACUUACUAUUCAUCUCAUGAAUAACUAAUGUUGUUGUAAAUAUGCUAGGUAUGAUCGGGUAGUGGGAUCUUGUGCUGGCCAUCACAAUCUGCCAUGACUAAUAGUUGCCAUCAGGAGGGCUACUAGCAAGAAAUUGAAUAUCUUCAAUAAUGUAUAUGCUUUGAUGCUGUAAACUAGAUUGUGUUGGUUUUUAACAUUGGCUGAAGUUGUAUUUCGUUAAUUGAUGUUGUAAAUUAUCAUUACAUGGAUUAUUUUGUGAGCUAUUAUGUUGUAGAUAGGUUUGGAUGGCUAUGUAAAUACCAUGUGAUCUGUGUAUUGUAUGACACUCGGAAGUACUUUGUUUUGUGGAAAAAUUUAUUGUAUGACACUCGGAAGUACUUUGUUUUGUGGAAAAAUUGGAAUCAAUUGUGUAAAGUAUGAAGGUAAGAAUAGUAUCGGGUCAAAUUUGGUUGAAAGAAACAUGCUAAUGGCCCGAAUACAUAAAUUGUGCCUAAAUUCGUGACGGUUCUUGAUAGAAACAGUGUCCACGUAGGCAGCCAUGUCAUGUCAAUUGGUCGACGGGACUAGUUUGGUCUGGACGGGCCUGG